rnacentral:rRNA from 1 species
UACGAAGGGGGCUGGCGUUGCUCGGAAUGACUGGGCGUAAAGGGCGCGUAGGCGGCGAUCAAGGUCAGAUGUGAAAUUCCUGGGCUUAACCUGGGGGCUGCAUUUGAUACGUGGUUGCUUGAGUGGGGAAGAGGGUCGUGGAAUUCCCAGUGUAGAGGUGAAAUUCGUAGAUAUUGGGAAGAACACCGGUGGCGAAGGCGGCGACCUGGUCCUUGACUGACGCUGAGGCGCGAAAGCGUGGGGAGCAAACAGG